AACGAACGCUGGCGGCAUGCCUAACACAUGCAAGUCGAACGAAGCCUUCCUGCUUAUUGGCGCUCGGCUGCGUAACGCCUGGGAAUCUACCCCUUGCUUCGGAAUCCCAGUUAGAAAUGUCUCCUCAUACAGCUUGAACUCUUCCGACCAAAGAUCUCUCGGCAAGUGAUGAGCCCGCGUAGGAUUCGGUGGUUGGUGGGGUAAUGGCCUAGCAUGCCGACGUUCCUUAGCUGGUCUGGGAGGAGGACCAGCCACAAUGGGACUGAGACACGGCCCAGAAUGGGACGGGAGGGAGGAGAGGGGAAUAUAGGAGAAGGAAGGCAAGUCUGAUCAAGCAAUGCCGGGGAAGAGAGGAAGGGCGUAGGGAUGUAAAGCUCUUUUAGCAGGGAUGAGAAUGACAGUACCGGGAGAAUAAGCACCGGCUAACUCCGUG
rnacentral:rRNA from 1 species